rnacentral:sRNA from 1 species
GCCUAGCCCUGAUGGUAGCGGCAUCCUUUUUAAAAUUUGACACACUGAGCUUGUCGAAGUGUAAAAUUUUGAAAAGAUAUAGCGAACAGCAGGAAUAAGC